AGAUAUAGAUAGAUGGGGUAUAUUUUUAGGUGUCACAGAAGGGAAUAAUACACAGAAUUUCCUCACCACUGUAUUCAUCAUAUCUACAUCACUAUGUAAGUGUCCAUUGCAUUAUGUAGAUGAUAGCUGUUACAUUCACCGCUGGGGUCAACAUAAUGACUUCAUCCUCUACGUGGAUUUGAUUAUAUGUUCUAAUGACAGUCAUUUCCUCAUACUUAAUUUAUCAAACUUUCCUAGUGACAAGAACAUAUUGUGGUCUAUCUCUAUGACUAUGAGCUGCCUCUGUAUAAUGGUACAAGGAGUAGAUGUUGACAAUUCUUUAUACAUAUAAAUAUCAAAGCCAUGAUGGUUGGUACAUGAUCAUCUCCUAAUCAUGGCAGAUACAGUUGCUACAUUUUUCAACAUACGACUCAUACAAAUAAUUGGUGUAAUAAGUAUAACAGUGAGUAUGAUGUAAUUAUAAUGGACCACAGAAACAAAUGCAAUCAACUUUAACUAUUUUUACAAGAUCCAGAUAAUGCUGGAAAAAAAUGAAUAUAAAAAUAAGUGACUUUUUGGUCAUCAGGUUAUAGGAAAGCAAAGAAAGGUCAAACACAUUUCUUUACACUCAUAACAACACUAGCAUCCCUCAACGCUAAAUAAUUUACAAGUAGAAUGGCCGGAAAUCUUUCCCUUGAAGGUAACAUUAAUAUACAUAUAAAAUAUUUAUGUGACUUAGUUUCAGUGGUUAUGUGUACCUCUCUGAAUGAUGCAGGCAUGGAAGCAAUUGGUUUUCAGUUUCAUAAUUAAAAAAAGAGUUCAAGCAUUUUUGCAUCCAAUAUUGUAUCAAACAUUUCUUAGCGCCUAAUGAGUGCCAACAAGCCAGAUUGGACUGUCUCACUCAUGUUUCUCUGAGGUGAGUUCCAGUUUUCAUAGGUUAGGUAUUCAUUAAUUUUAGAAUAGAAAAAUAGACGAGCAAUUGGCUCUCUGAUUUGCAUUGUACACGGGGGUUCCUUUUACAUGAUAAGAACUCUAGAACAAGUGAAGCUCAGAUUAGUGCUCUCACCUCAGCUGUGGUGCAUCAUAUAAUUCAGGGAUUCAUUUUGAGGACCUAUCAGACCAUAAAGUAAAGGUCUUAUUAACAUGUCAACAUCUCAUUUACUCUGCUCUAGGGGUCAAAAUUGUGUUCUAAAAUACUUCAUGCAUAUUUUUGAUUCUGAUGGAGACAGUGAAGGAAAAAGGGUGAAAAAUAUAGAAAAGAUGAAGAUAGGGGGAUAGAAAAUACCCUGCUGCAAUAUCUAUACCAAACACAAGAAAGCAAAGUUAGAAAUAGAUGGAGCAUUCAAAUCGACGUGUAGAAUAUGGGAGUUAAAAUUGAAUGAAAGAAUGUGUGUUGAGGUGCUAGAGUUAGAUAAAAAGAUUGAAGGGAAUGAGUGAUAUGGAAAAAAAAUAUGCUUGUGUGUCAGUAACAAGAGUGGAUAGAAGGAAAUAGAUAGAGCAUACAAGUUGAAAAGUGUAGAAUAUGUGAGUCAAGUUAAAUAGUGAAUGAAAGAAUGAUUGAUUGAUUGCUAGAGUUAGAUAAAAAGAUUGAAGGGAAUGAGUGAUAAGGAAAAAAAAGAUGCUUGUGUGUCAGUAACAAGAAAGAGUGGAUAGAAGGAAAUAGAUAGAGCAUACAAGUUGAGAAGUGUAGAAUAUGUGAGUCAAGUUAAAUGGUGAAUGAAAGAAUGAUUGAUUGAUUGCUAGAGUUAGAUAAAAAGAUUGAAGGGAUUGAGUGAUAAGGAAAAAAAAGAUGCUUGUGUGCCAGUAGUUAUAAAGGGUGCAUAGAAGGAAAUAGAUGGAGCAUACAAGUUGAAAAGUAUUGAAUAUGUGAGUCAAGUUAAAUAGUGAAUGAAAGAAGGUGCGUUGAGGUACUAGAGUUAGAUAAAAAGAUUGAAAUAGAUUGAUUGAUUGACUGGUAAUUUAUUGUUGCAAGUAAACAACAAAGAAGAAGGGAGGAGCAUGCCAUCCCACGUUUUAGAUGAGUAAUAAGGAAAAUAAUACAUAUGUGGCAAUACUAAUAAGAGGGAUCAAAGGAGAAAGUAUGAUAUGAAAUACGUAGGCCUAAUUUUGCCACAGAAACGUUUUGCAGUGUAUAAAAAGAAACAGAGAAAGGCAGAUCAAGGGUAAAAUUAGAAGAAGGAAAAUAAAAAGCUUGAAAAGGAAAGAAAAAGAUGAAGGAAAAGAAAACAGUUACAUUAAUUAACAAAACACAGCUCAUUUCCAGAGGUGUUAAUAAGAUGUAUAUAGCCAUUUAAUGUUCUCUCUCUCUCUCUCUCUCUCUCUCUCUCUCUCUCUCUCUCUAAGAUUGUAGGGAAAGGUAGGUAACUCUUUAACUUAUAUAUUUUACAACGAAAAUAAGUCUUGAUAUCAUUUAAAACGCAGUAGAAACUAUAUGAUCACGAAAUUACCCCUCUGAUAUAGACUCUGGGUUGGAAUUGUGUAUAUGUGCUUCAUACUCUAUCAUCAAUUGGGGCGCUCCUGCAUGCACCACGGCAAGCAAACGUCAGCUAAAUGGCAGAACAAACCCACCCGAAAGCCCCUGAUCCAAGAGGAAGGCGAACACCCGUGAAUGAAACACAGUAUACGGUUUUAUAGAAACUUAGAAAGAGUAGACCUCGACCGCCAUGACACCUUCUCAGCAGCCACGGUAAGGUCUGAACACAUUCUUUACUUGAUAAUACUGAGAUAAAGAGUUACAAAGUGUGGCUAUAUACUUAUUGAUAUGAGGGUAUGAGGGGCUGUUUGAGAUGUGGGGCUGUGUGUGUAUGGGUGAUUGAGGAAUGGGGCUGCGCGGGGGAUGGUUAAGGAAAGGGACUGCAUGGGAGGGAGAAGAAAGGAACGAAAGGAGGACCUAAGAAGCGAUACAAAGCGUCACAGGUCAAAAGAAGAAGAAGAAGAAGGGUGAGUUAAGAUUCGUUUUAGGUCCGUGCCAGUAUCUCAUAAUCUACUUUAUGAAACAUCAGUAUCUCUUCAUACAUCUUUUCUACAAACCUUCAUCAGUCAUGGAAACGCUUUGAAAAUCCAAUUCAAGGACUUUUAUUUUACUCCUGAAAAUAUGGGAUAAUGUUUACGAAAGCGCGUCGCCUCCUCUGGCGAUGCUGCAGCCGGUGUUACGAGAAAUACCUCCUCGCUGAAAUAAGUCACAUAUACAUGUGGGGGGGGGCAGCCCCCCCGUUAGUAGGUCGUAAAGUUCGGUUGGAGUAGUUUAAAUAUGCUCCCCGACCCUAAACCCUCUGCGAGCUAUUUUACGGCUGCGGCGGCUGCAGCGUCGCCGCGGCCAGCACCAGAGGAGGCGACGCGCUUUCGUAAACAUUAUCCCCUAUUUUCAAGAGUAAAAUAAAAGUCCUUGAAUUGGAUUUUCAAAGCGUUUCCAUGACUGUUGAAGCAGAGGAAGCAGAUGAGGACAAGAAACAAGAAAAAGUCUGCAGCAGAACAGCUCACGAAGAGUGUACAUAAGGUAGUGUCCUGAAUAUCUUCCGUCAGGGUAUGUAGUGUCAUUGCUAUCUUUCCAAAGUGUGGACCACCUCUAUAUUUUCCACAAUACUAGAGUAAAAGAUUAUCGUUAAAGAUUGCUUAUCAUAUGUCUUGAUUUGGAUUAUUUUCCUGGUUAUAAAUUGAGUGAUCAUAGAUGACGGGAGGUGGUUUUAGAAAGGAUACAUUACUGGAUGUAUCAUAAAAAUCAGGAAAACCAAUUCACUUUAAAACAAAACCAAGAAAAAAAACUUACAACGAAAAACAAAACAAAAAAACGAAGGUUAUUUGUAGUAAUUAAUGUGUUAGGAGUGUGGGGGAGCACUGAGCAGCAGCACCAUGCAAGACUCAUCACAUUUUUAUCACAGUCACAUUUAAUAACUUAUGAUUGAUGCCACAAAAAAUAUGAAACAUUUUAGUCUAACCCAAAGCUUGAAUUAACCCGGUAGCUGCGGGGUCAUGUUUCUUAGGUUAGGUUAGGUGAGGUGAGGUUAAAGGUCCCUCUCAGCAAAAUAAUGAGAAAGAAUCAUCACUCACGCAAACCAUUUCAUAAUUAUAUAUCAACGCAUUUGUGAUCAGUUUAUGCAUCAUCUAUCUUGGGAGGUUUAUAUCGUGGCAGAAAUUUGGCCCAUCGCGUCGCUGCUUCCGGGUUAAAAGCUAACUGAAGUAUCAUUAUCACAAGUCACUUACAUACAUUGAUUCUGCUUCUCCCCUUCAUUUUUUUUGUUAGUUUUAUAAUCUCAGUGCAAUCGUUAGUCACAGUAGUUGCAGCAGCUGUCACACUCAUGCCACUCACUUUAACUAAACUCAUGGCCAAUAACACUUGACUUGGCCGUGCAUCUAUGCCACCCACAACACAUAAUGCCAGUGUCGUUUAUACUGAGCUUGAGUCACAGCUAUAACAUUAUUAGACAUAGUGGAGCAAAGGGGAGGCACAAACUGAUAAAAUAUGGUGUGUCUGUAUGUGCCAUGGUGUGUGUGUGUGUAUGUGCCAUGGUGUGUGUGUGUGUAUGUGUGUGUUUACCUAAUUGUAGCUUUACAGGGCCUGGGUUUACACUCAUGUGGUCCCGUCUCUGUAUCUAUAUUUGUCCAGCUUUUCCUUAAAGUUUUGCACACACUUCACUGAUACAACAACCUCACUUAGUCUGUUCCAAACCUCUAUAUUUCUUUGUCUCAAGCAUCUUCCUUUCCUCAAUUUUUUACUGUGUCCUCAUGUGCUCCUGGUGUUUAUUCCUUCUUUAAGUAGUAACUCCUCAUUAUCUACAUCUUCCAUUUUGCUCAAUAAUUUAUAAAUUAGUAUUAGGUCUCCCCAUUCUCUUCUUUGUUCCAGUGUUGGUAGGUCCAUUUCCUUUAAUCUUUCUUCAUAUGUCAAUCCCUCCAGUUCUGAAUCUAUUUUUGUUGCCAUUCUUUGUAUUCUUCCUAUUUUUUU